CGCUGAUUGUCGGGUAGCAAUAUUCGGCAGUCGGAGUGGCGCAAGGGUGCGUAACACGUGGGUAAUUUGCCGUGAAGUUUGGGAUAACUCGCUGAAAGGCGAGCUAAUACCGGAUGUGAUCGUUGGGAGGCAUCUUUUGACGAUCAAAGUUGGGGACCGAAAGGCCUGACGCUUCACGAUAAGCCCGCGGCCUAUCAGCUAGUUGGUGAGGUAACGGCUCACCAAGGCGAAGACGGGUAGCUGGUCUGAGAGGACGACCAGCCACACUGGAACUGAGACACGGUCCAGACACCUACGGGUGGCAGCAGUCGAGAAUUUUUCUCAAUGGGGGAAACCCUGAAGGAGCGACGCCGCGUGGGGGAUGAAGGGCUUCGGCCUGUAAACCCCUGUCAUUUGCGAACAAACCCUGUGUGUUAAGAGCAUGCAGGCUGAUUGUAGCGAAAGAGGAAGGGACGGCUAACUCUGUGCCAGCAGCCGCGGUAAUACAGAGGUCCCGAGCGUUGUUCG
rnacentral:rRNA from 1 species